GAGGAGUUUCCUUCAGUGUCUGCCUUAUAUCUCACAGCUCAGUUUUGUGCCUCUGUCAUUUCAACAUUUGGAGACAAUCAGAUUCAUAGUGAAUCUGUUCUGUGCAGCAGCAGAGCGAGAACAGCAGACAGGAGAGAAGAUACUGGAGCUGUUAUCAUCAGUGUGCACAUACAGAGGAUUUACAGUUAAUGAAAUAUGGUGUGAUUUCCUGCUGGAUCUGUACUCUCAUGUGGAGGACUGUGAGGCUAAAACAGGCUUGAGUGUCCUUCCAUCAUUACAGUCAGUUUUCCAGUCAGCUCCUGCAGUCUGGUCCAUAAACCUCUCAGAGAGAAAGACCUCCAUCCUCCUGGAAGUGCUGAAACUCCAACCAGAGAAGAAAAAA